CUCGUAGGCGGCCAACUAAGUCGGACGUGAAAUCCCUCAGCUUAACUGGGGAACUGCGUCUGAUACUGGAUGGCUUGGAUUCGGGAGAGGAAUGCGGAAUUCCAGGUGUAGCGGUGAAAUGCGUAGAUAUCUGGAGGAACACCGGUGGCGAAGGCGGCAUUCUGGACCGACAUUGACGCUGAGGAGCGAAAGCCAGGGGAGCAAACG
rnacentral:rRNA from 1 species